GGCGUAGCUCAGCCUGGUAGAGCGUCUGCUUUGGGAGCAGAAUGUCGCAGGUUCGAAUCCUGUCGCC
rnacentral:tRNA from 1 species